UACGAAGGGUGCAAGCGUUACUCGGAAUUACUGGGCGUAAAGCGUGCGUAGGUGGUUCGUUAAGUCUGAUGUGAAAGCCCUGGGCUCAACCUGGGAAUGGCAUUGGAAACUGGCGAUCUAGAGUGCGGUCGAGGGCAGUGGAAUUCCCGGUGUAGCAGUGAAAUGCGUAGAGAUCGGGAGGAACAUCUGUGGCGAAGGCGACUGCCUGGACCAGCACUGACACUGAGGCACGAAAGCGUGGGGAGCAAACAGG
rnacentral:rRNA from 1 species